GACGAACGCUGGCGGCGUGCUUUACACAUGCAAGUCGAACGAUGAUGGAGUGCUUGCACUCUGGAUUAGUGGCGAACGGGUGAGUAACACGUGAGUAACCUGCCCCAGACUCUGGGAUAACUCCGGGAAACCGGGGCUAAUACUGGAUAUGACACUUCCCUGCAUGGGGUUGUGUGGAAAGGAUUCUGGUUUGGGAUGGACUCGCGGCCUAUCAGCUUGUUGGCGGGGUAGUGGCCCACCAAGGCUUUGACGGGUAGCCGGCCUGAGAGGGUGACCGGCCACACUGGGACUGAGACACGGCCCAGACUCCUACGGGAGGCAGCAGUGGGGAAUAUUGCACAAUGGGCGAAAGCCUGAUGCAGCGACGUCGCGUGAGGGAUGACGGCCUUCGGGUUGUAAACCUCUUUCAGCAGGGAAGAAGCGAAAGUGACGGUACCUGCAGAAGAAGCGCCGGCUAACUACGUGCCAGCAGCCGCCGUAAUAC
rnacentral:rRNA from 1 species